rnacentral:rRNA from 1 species
CCUACGGGUGGCAGCAGUGGGGAAUAUUGCACAAUGGGGGGAACCCUGAUGCAGCGACGCCGCGUGGGUGAAGAAGCGCCUCGGCGCGUAAAGCCCUGUCAGCAGGGAAGAAAAUGACGGUACCUGAAGAAGAAGCCCCGGCUAACUACGUGCCAGCAGCCGCGGUAAUACGUAGGGGGCAAGCGUUAUCCGGAUUUACUGGGUGGAAAGGGGGCGCAGACGGCGAUGCAAGCCAGGAGUGAAAGCCCGGGGCCCAACCCCGGGACUGCUCUUGGAACUGCGUGGCUGGAGUGCAGGAGGGGCAGGCGGAAGUCCUGGUGUAGCGGUGAAAUGCGUAGAUAUCAGGAGGAACACCGGUGGCGAAGGCGGCCUGCUGGACUGCAACUGACGUUGAGGCCCGAAAGCGUGGGGAGCAAACAGGAUUAGAUACCCCAGUAGUC